AUUGAACGCUGGCGGAAUGCUUUACACAUGCAAGUCGAACGGCAGCACGGGGCAACCUGGUGGCGAGUGGCGAACGGGUGAGUAAUACAUCGGAACGUGCCCAAUCGUGGGGGAUAACGUAGCGAAAGUUACGCUAAUACCGCAUACGAUCUACGGAUGAAAGCGGGGGAUCGCAAGACCUCGCGCGAAUGGAGCGGCCGAUGUCAGAUUAGGUAGUUGGUGGGGUAAAGGCUCACCAAGCCAACGAUCUGUAGCUGGUCUGAGAGGACGACCAGCCACACUGGAACUGAGACACGGUCCAGACUCCUACGAGAGGCAGCAGUGGGGAAUUUUGGGACAAUGGGCGCAAGCCUGAUCCAGCCAUUCCGCGUGCAGGAUGAAGGCCUCGG
rnacentral:rRNA from 1 species